rfam:Triticum aestivum genome assembly, contig: Triticum_aestivum_CS42_TGACv1_scaffold_320251_4BL
UAACUACUCCCUCCGUCCCGAAAUACUUGUCGGAGAAAUGAAUAAAAUUGGAUGUAUCUAUAACUAAAAUAUGUCUAAAUUCAUCCAUUUCUCCGACAAGUAUUUCCGGACGGAGGAAGUAUUUA